rnacentral:misc_RNA from 1 species
AGAGAGAGAGAGGUAAAACCCUGUAAUAACAAAAUCUUCUUAGUAUAAUUUGAAUCUUGAAUCCGUGCAGUCAAGUAGUAAAAAUACUUUGUUCAUUGAUUAUUAAAGACUUUUAUAUAUAUAUAUAUAUAUUCAUAAGUGCACCAUCGAAUAAUGAAUUCAACAGCUUGUGUCUGAAUGUGUUUGAAUCAUCAUCAAGUGUUACUGCUUCUAUUCCCAUUCAUUGAAUCCGAGUUAUUGACAUCCCGUAUAUUCAGUCUGUGCAUGAGGUAAUUUCCGGAGGUUGCACCAUUGAUUUGAAAUCAAUAGCACAUAACAUCUAUAUAUUAUUAAGACACCAUCAUGAUGCAAUACUGUAAAUACAUUCAAUGGAUGUCAUCAUCAUCGUACAAAACAUUUCCUAUUUCAACUCUAAGUAUCUUCGUUCUUCUAUUAUCAUCUACACAUGGGUAUCCCCAAGGAAGCUCUAGAAAUGAUACUGAGUCCAACGUAACAAUAACUACAGAAGAUUCAUUCAACACAACGCUUACAACUCUACCCAGUCAGACUUCAAGUGAGAAUAUAUUAUCACCCUCCACUUCAGAAAUCGGAGCUUCAACAAACGCCACAACAACUCCUGAAUCGUCUCAAGAAACAAGUUUUCCGCCAUCCACUCUGUCCUCAUCUUUCGUUUCGAAUAGAACAACGGUGGAGUCCAGUUCGACUGAAACGUCACCGGCAACAGAGGAAGGAUUCUCUUACACAGAUCCUUCUGUUAAAGAAAAUUCAACAACAUUAUCUACAAAAGACACUACCGCAACGUCAGUGGAAGGCGGCGAGAAUGACUCCACCACAACGAUUACAUUUCCAAACACAUCAACCCAUGUCAAUAAUACUAAUUCUACCCCUGACUCAACUACGAAUACGUUAAUUACGGAUCGUAAUGAAACAUAUACAAGACUUGAGGUAGGCCACGAGGAACUACUUUCUACCACUCCUUCUAGUAUUUUUACGACUAGCACAGAGCACGAGUUAGUUUCAAACUCUUUCGAAUCUUCUUCUUCUUCCUCCCUUUCAUUUUCAACCCCUGUUGCGGACAUAGCUACUUCAAGUGCCGCAGAACCUUCUACUUUACCCCCAGAACCUUCCCCUUCCACUCCAUCUAAUUAUCUUCAUACAGGCAAUGAUGAUUCCUUAGUUACAUCAACAACUGAAGAGCUAGUCACGUUAAUUGAAACCUCCACUCACACGUCUUCUUCCACGCAUAGCGUUCCACCUAGUUCGAUUUUAACAACGAACUUCGGUCCGAUACAGAGCACAAAUAGCCCAGAGUUGACUACUUCCACGCAUAGUGUUACAUCUACUUCAUUAGUAACAUCGACCCUAGGUCUAAUAGAAAGCACAAAUAGCCCAGAUUCUUCUUCCAUAGUAACAACGACCAUUGCUAGAGCGGAUGAACCAUCAUCUACCACCAUUUUGAUUCAUGGCAGUAGUCAAGAAGAGGAUGCAGAAGAAUUAGACGUAAAAGACAGUACUCCAUACAUUGUUGAAGAGCCCAUCAAAACUUCCAAGAGUCCGUUAUUAAUCCAGCAUGAUAAGGGUGAUGGGAGCGUUAAGAGUGGCAUGAAUAAUAAUCAAUCCAAUGUGAUGGUGAAGAUGGAAGAGAAAUUAGAUGAUCUACAAUAUCAAAUCUAUGCUCUUUGUGGGAGUUUUGGAGUCAUUUCUCUUCUUCUUAUAAUACUUUUGUUUGCUUUGGCAUACUCCAUGUCGAAGCUAAAGGAUCAAGUUAGUAGCACAAGACAUGUACCCUACAUUCCAGAUAAUAGAACAGAUGUUUACACAGGUGAUCAAAUCCAUGCCUAUGAUAAUUCAGCGUUUAGCACUGGACAUGAAAUGCAAGAAAGAAGACGAUCAAAUCUGGAUAAGGAACCUGUUCCAAAGCCCGGCUAUGGGAUUCAUAAUGGAAACAACCCUUAUGAAAAGGAUGGUUUUUGUCGAGUCAAUCUGAAUGAUUGAAAAUUUGUUUUUAAAAAAUUAAAACAAAUAAAUGCAUAAAUAAACUUCUCCCAUGGAGAAAAUGAGGCGGAUCUUAGUCAAAA